ACCUCUCACCCGGAAGCGAAUACGCGAGGGGCUGAAGCUGAGCCAAUCAGAAGGCGCCGGGACUGUGCCGCUGCAGCUGGGCCACCGCAGGGCUGCUCCAAGUGAGAGCCGUGAGGGUGGCCAAGUCCAGUUUGGACCUCUGACCCUUGGGCAGCACCUCCCGACAGCCGGCUCGGGACCCAACUCUGCGAGCCAGGUGAAAAUGAGUUCUUCAGUAAGAAGAAAAGGCAAGCCAGGCAAAGGAGGUGGAAAAGGGUCUUCUAGAGGAGGAAGAGGAGGCAGGAGUCACGCCAGUAAAUCUCAUGGGAGUGGUGGUGGUGGCGGUGGCGGUGGUGGUGGUGGAGGUGGCGGCAACAGAAAGGCCUCCAGUAGAAUAUGGGAUGAUGGAGAUGACUUUUGUAUCUUCAGUGAAUCAAGGCGCCCUUCCAGACCUAGCAACAGUAACAUAAGCAAAGGAGAGUCACGCCCAAAAUGGAAACCCAAAGCCAAAGUACCCCUUCAGACUCUACAUAUGACUUCUGAGAAUCAAGAGAAAGUGAAAGCUCUUCUCCGAGACCUGCAAGAACAAGAUGCUGAUGCCGGAUCUGAAAGAGGCAUUUCUGGGGAGGAGGAAGAUGAUGAGCCUGAUUGCUGUAAUGAUGAGCGGUACUGGCCAGCUGGACAGGAACCUUCCCUCGUUCCCGACUUGGAUCCUUUGGAAUAUGCUGGCUUAGCCUCAGUGGAGCCUUAUGUUCCAGAAUUUACAGUCUCCCCAUUUGCAGUGCAAAAACUUUCCAGGUAUGGUUUCAAUACUGAACGCUGUCAAGCGGUCCUGAGGAUGUGUGAUGGAGAUGUGGGAGCAUCACUAGAGCAUCUCCUUACCCAGUGUUUUUCAGAGACAUUUGGAGAGAGGAUGAAGAUCUCUGAGGCAGUCAACCAGAUAAGCUUGGAUGAGUGUAUGGAACAGCGACAGGAAGAGGCAUUUGCUCUCAAGUCCAUCUGUGGAGAAAAAUUUAUAGAAAGAAUUCAGAACAGAGUCUGGACCAUUGGGUUAGAACUGGAGUAUCUGACAAGUAGAUUCCGCAAAUCCAAGCCAAAAGAAAGUACCAAAAAUGUACAAGAGAAUUCACUUGAAAUCUGUAAAUUUUACCUCAAAGGAAAUUGUAAAUUUGGAUCAAAAUGCAGAUUCAAACAUGAAGUGCCCCCAAAUCAAAUUGUUGGAAGAAUAGAAAGAAGUGUAGAUGAUUCUCAUCUUAAUGCUAUUGAAGAUGCAUCUUUUUUAUAUGAACUUGAAAUUCGAUUUUCUAAAGACCACAAAUAUCCCUACCAAGCUCCCCUCGUGGCAUUUUAUUCCACCAAUGAGAACCUACCUCUGGCUUGUCGUUUACAUAUUUCUGAGUUUCUUUAUGACAAGGCCUUGACAUUUGCAGAAACUUCGGAACCUGUCGUAUAUUCUUUGAUAACCCUUUUAGAGGAAGAGUCGGAAAUAGUCAAGUUACUAACGAAUACCCACCACAAGUAUAGUGACCCUCCUGUGAACUUUCUGCCAGUACCCUCUAGGACCAGAAUAAAUAAUCCUGCCUGUCAUAAACCACUGAUUCCAAAUAAUUCUUUUGUUUCUAAUCAAAUUCCAGAAGUUGAAAAAGCAUCAGAAUCUGAGGAGUCAGAUGAGGAUGACGGUCCUGCACCUGUUAUAGUAGAGAAUGAAAGCUAUGUGAACCUUAAGAAAAAGAUUUCCAAAAGAUAUGACUGGCAGGCAAAGUCAGUACAUGCUGAAAAUGGUAAAAUCUGCAAGCAGUUCCGAAUGAAACAGGCUUCCAGACAGUUCCAGUCCAUUCUGCAAGAGAGGCAAUCACUCCCUGCUUGGGAAGAAAGAGAAACCAUUCUUAACUUAUUGCGUAAGCACCAGGUGGUUGUCAUAAGUGGUAUGACUGGAUGUGGGAAAACCACACAAAUUCCACAGUUUAUUCUGGAUGAUUCUCUGAAUGGACCACCUGAGAAGGUAGCCAACAUCAUCUGUACCCAACCCCGACGAAUCUCUGCAAUCUCUGUUGCUGAACGCGUUGCUAAAGAAAGAGCAGAGAGGGUGGGUCUGACCGUGGGAUACCAGAUUCGGUUAGAAAGUGUCAAGUCCUCAGCCACCAGACUGUUAUACUGCACCACGGGAGUGCUGCUGAGAAGGCUAGAAGGAGAUACAGCUCUACAAGGAGUUUCCCAUAUCAUUGUUGAUGAAGUUCAUGAGAGGACAGAAGAAAGUGACUUCUUGCUGCUAGUUUUGAAGGACAUUGUAUCGCAGAGGCCAGGUCUUCAAGUUAUUUUAAUGAGUGCAACUCUAAACGCUGAGCUUUUUUCAGACUAUUUUAAUUCCUGCCCCGUUAUUACUAUACCAGGUCGUACAUUUCCUGUUGAUCAAUUUUUUUUGGAAGAUGCAAUUGCUGUGACAAGGUAUGUAUUACAGGAUGGGAGCCCAUAUAUGCGGUCCAUGAAACAGAUUUCAAAGGAAAAGCUUAAAGCAAGGCGAAACAGAACUGCAUUUGAAGAAGUGGAAGAAGACCUGAGGCUCUCCCUUCACCUCCAGGAUCAGGAUUCUGUCAAAGAUGCAGUGCCAGAUCAACAGUUAGAUUUUAAGCAGCUCCUGGCCCGCUAUAAAGGGGUUAGCAAGUCAGUCAUCAAAACAAUGUCCAUCAUGGAUUUUGAAAAGGUGAAUCUUGAAUUAAUAGAGGCCUUAUUAGAGUGGAUUGUGGAUGGAAAGCACUCCUACCCUCCAGGUGCUAUACUUGUAUUUUUACCAGGACUAGCAGAAAUCAAAAUGCUUUACGAACAGCUGCAGUCUAAUUCUCUUUUCAACAACAGACGUAGUAAUCGAUGUGUUAUUCACCCACUUCAUUCAUCUUUAUCCAGUGAAGAGCAGCAGGCUGUGUUUGUAAAACCUCCUGCAGGAGUAACUAAGAUUAUAAUUUCCACCAACAUUGCUGAGACAUCCAUAACCAUCGAUGAUGUUGUCUAUGUUAUCGAUUCUGGGAAAAUGAAAGAAAAGAGAUAUGAUGCCAGCAAAGGGAUGGAAAGUCUAGAGGACACCUUUGUAUCUCAAGCUAAUGCUCUACAAAGGAAAGGCCGAGCAGGCCGUGUUGCAUCUGGGGUCUGCUUCCAUUUAUUCACUAGCCAUCACUACAAUCACCAGCUUUUAAAACAACAGCUACCAGAAAUACAAAGAGUGCCAUUGGAACAGCUGUGUCUAAGAAUUAAAAUUUUAGAGAUGUUUAGUGCUCAUAAUCUCCAGUCUGUGUUCUCUCGGCUCAUUGAACCUCCACACACCGAUUCUCUUCGUGCCUCAAAAAUACGAUUACGAGACUUAGGAGCAUUAACUCCAGAUGAAAGAUUGACCCCUCUUGGGUAUCAUUUGGCCUCUCUGCCCGUGGAUGUGAGAAUUGGCAAACUAAUGUUGUUUGGGUCUAUCUUCCGCUGUUUGGAUCCUGCUCUCACCAUUGCUGCCAGUUUGGCUUUUAAGUCUCCGUUUGUAUCUCCCUGGGAUAAAAAAGAAGAAGCUAACCAGAAAAAGCUGGAAUUUGCAUUCGCAAACAGUGAUUAUCUGGCCCUUCUACGAGCGUAUAAGGGAUGGCAGCUAAGUACAAAAGAAGGCGUGCGUGCAAGUUAUAAUUACUGCAGACAAAACUUCUUGUCUGGAAGAGUUCUGCAGGAAAAGAGAUGAGCCAGCAAGACCAUAAUGAAGGAGAAAGAGGAAACAUUCUGCUGAGUUCCACUGAGAGCACGAACCACUCUAGGCCUGAGAAAUGGCCAGCCUCAAACGACAAUUCACGGAACUGUUAUCGGAUAUAGGGUUUGCAAGGGAAGGGCUCAGAGCAAGGGAAAUUGAGAAAAGGGCCCAAGGAGGAGAUGGUGUCUUAGAUGCCACAGGAGAAGAGGCAAAUUCAAAUGCUGAGAACCCCAAGCUGAUAUCAGCAAUGCUGUGUGCUGCUUUGUAUCCAAAUGUAGUGCAGGCCCCGAGUGGUUCACUGAGCCAUGAAGACAGAUUCCAGGCACCAGGAAUUGCACCUCCAAUCCCAGAUGCUAUGUUCAGCAAAGGCUCCAUGGUUCUGGCCUACAGUGGUGGCCUGGACACCUCCUGCAUCCUCGUGUGGCUGAAGGAACAAGGCUAUGACAUUAUUGCCUACCUGGCCAACAUUGGCCAGAAGGAAGACUUCAAGGAAGCCAGGAAGAAGGCACUGAACCUUGGGUCCAAAAAGGUGUUCAUUGAGGACGUCAGCAAGGAGUUCGUGGAGGAGUUCAUCUGGCCUGUAUGAGGACUGCUACCUCCUGGGCCCCUCUCUUCCCAGGCCUUACAUCACCCGCAAACAAGUGGAAAUUGCUCAGUGGGAGGGGGCAAAGUAUGUGUCCCACAGUGCCAUGGGAAAGGGGAACGAUCAGGUCUGGUUUGAGCUCGCCUGCUACUCGCUGGCCCCCCAGAUUAAGGUCAUUGCUCCUGGGAGGAUCCCUGAGUUCUACAACCAGUCCAAGGGCCACAGUGAUCUGAUGGAAUAUGCAGAGAAACAUGGGAUUCCCAUCCCAGUCACUCUGAAGCACCCAUGGAACAUGGACGAGAACCUCAUGCACAUCAGCCACGAGGCUGGAAUCUUGGAGAACCCCAAGAACCAAGCACCUUCAGGUCUCUACAUGAAGAUUCAGGACCUGGCCAAAGCCCCCAACACCCCCAACAUUUUCAAGACUGAGUAAAAAAGGGGUCCCUGUGAAGGUGACCAGCAUCAAGGAUGGCACCACCCACCAGACCUCCUUGGUGCUCUUCAUGUACCUGAAUGAAGUCGCAGGCAAGCACAGCGUGGGCCAUAUUGACAUCGUGGAGAACCGCUUCAUUGAAAUGAAGUCCUGAGGUAUCUGCAAGACCCCAGCAGGCACCAUCCUUUACCACCCUCAUUUAGACAUUGAGGGCUUUGCCAUGGAACAGGAAGUGCGCAAAAUCAAACAAGGCCUGGGCUUGAAAUUUGCUGAGUUGGUGUACACCGGUUUCUGGCACAACCCUCAGUGUGACUUUGCCCACCACUGCAUUGCCAAGUCCCAGGACCGAGUGGAAGGGAAAGUGCAGAUAUCCAUCUUCAAGGGCCAGGUGUACAUCCUCUGCCAGGAGCCCCCACUGUCUCUCUACAGUGGAGAGCAGGUGAGCAUGAACGUGCAGGGCAAUGAUGAGCCAGCCAGUCGGUGACACCAGUCUCAUCAACAUCAAUUCCCUCAGGAUGAAGGAAUAUCAUCAUCUCCAGAGCAAGGUCACUGCCAAAUAGACCCCUGUACAAUGGGGAGCUAGGGCCACCUCACUUUGCAGAUUCCCCAAGUACAGGCACUAAUUGUUGUGAUAAUUUGUAAUUGUGACUUGUUCUCCCUGGCUGAGAGUGUAGUGGGGCUGCCGGGCCCCAGCUUUGUUCCCUGGUCCCCCUGAAAUGGUCAUCAAAGGGAAGGGUGAGGGGCAGCUACAGUGAGGAGCUAU